rnacentral:lncRNA from 1 species
GUGACCCCGACGGAGCCCGAGGGCGGCGCCACCGAAACGUCCCCAAAUGUCCCCAAAACGUCCCCAAAUGUCCCCAAAAUGUCCCCGAAUGUCCCCAAAACGUCCCCGAGUGCCACCUCCCAGUGACACCGGAGCGUCCCCCAAGCGCCACCCAAGUGCCACCCAAAGCGUCCCCAGAUGUCCCCAAGUGCCACCGGCGGCUCUUGAGGCCACCAAGGUGCCACCACCCCCCUCAAAGUCCCUGCAGUGUCCCCAAGGUGCCACCACCGUGUCCCCAAGGUGUCCCCAAGGUGCCACCACCCCCAGUAGUGUCCCCCAAGUGCCACCACCCCAAUGUCACCCUGUCCCCAAAGUGCCACCCCUGAAUGUCCCCAGGUGUCCCCAAGGUGCCACCACGGCAGUGCCACCAAUGUCAAUAAAUGUCCCCGGAGUGC